GUCCAGUUAGUCAAGUGGUUAAGAUGCUAGACUCUGGCCAGAGAGGUCGUGGGUUCGAGUCCCACCCAUGGCG
rnacentral:tRNA from 1 species